GACGAACGCUGGCGGCGUGCUUAACACAUGCAAGUCGAACGAGACCCCCGCUUCGGUGGGGUGUUCUAGUGGCGAACGGGUGAGUAACACGUGGGCAACCUGCCCCCGGCUCUGGGAUAACUCCAAGAAAUUGGGGCUAAUACCGGAUAUGACCGCUGACCGCAUGGUCUGGUGGUGGAAAGUUUUUCGGCUGGGGAUGGGCCCGCGGCCUAUCAGCUUGUUGGUGGGGUAGUGGCCUACCAAGGCGACGACGGGUAGCCGGCCUGAGAGGGUGACCGGCCACACUGGGACUGAGACACGGCCCAGACUCCUACGGGAGGCAGCAGUGGGGAAUAUUGCGCAAUGGGCGGAAGCCUGACGCAGCGACGCCGCGUGGGGGAUGACGGCCUUCGGGUUGUAAACCUCUUUCAGCAGGGACGAAGCGAAAGUGACGGUACCUGCAGAAGAAGCACCGGCCAACUACGUGCCAGCCGCCGCUGUAAUAC
rnacentral:rRNA from 1 species